AUUGAACGCUGGCGGCAGGCCUAACACAUGCAAGUCGAGCGAGCGGCGGACGGGAGAGUAAUGUAUGGGGACUGCCAGAUGGAGGGGGAUAACUACUGGAAACGGUAGCUAAUACCGCAUACAAUAGGAUAACACAUAUGGGAUUCGCUUGUGUGUGAGGUAAAGGCUCACCUAGGCGACGAUCCCUAGCGGUUCUGAGAGGUUGAUCAGCCACACUGGGACUGAGACACGGCCCAGACUCCUACGGAGGCAGCAGUGGGGAAUAUUGCACAAUGGGCGCAAGCCUGAUGCAGCCAUGCCGCGUGUAUGAAGAAGGCCUUCGGGUUGUAAAGUACUUUCAGUCGGGAGGCGUUACCGACAGAAGAAGCACCGGCUAACUCCGUGCCAGCAGCCGCGGUAAUUC
rnacentral:rRNA from 1 species